rnacentral:rRNA from 1 species
AUUGAACGCUGGCGGCAUGCCUUACACAUGCAAGUCGAACGGCAGCACGGGGGCAACCCUGGUGGCGAGUGGCGAACGGGUGAGUAAUACAUCGGAACGUGUCCUAUCGUGGGGGAUAACUAGUCGAAAGACUAGCUAAUACCGCAUGAGAUCGAGAGAUGAAAGCAGGGGACCGCAAGGCCUUGCGCGAUUGGAGCGGCCGAUGUCGGAUUAGCUAGUUGGCGGGGUAAAAGCCCACCAAGGCGACGAUCCGUAGCUGGUUUGAGAGAACGACCAGCCACACUGGGACUGAGACACGGCCCAGACUCCUACGGGAGGCAGCAGUGGGGAAUUUUGGACAAUGGGGGAAACCCUGAUCCAGCCAUGCCGCGUGUGUGAAGAAGGCCUUCGGUUGUAAAGCACUUUCGGACGGAACGAAAUACGCAAGGGUGAAUAAUCCCUUGUGGAUGACGGUACCGUAAGAAGAAG